rnacentral:ncRNA from 2 species
UAUUCAUCCAGAGCAGUUGAAGGACUGGCCUUAUGACACUGCGGCAACCUCCCGUACGGGAAGGUGCCAAUUCCAGCAGGAUGUAUUCCUGACAGAUGAUAC